GAUGAACGCUGGCGGCGUGCUUAACACAUGCAAGUCGAACGGUGAAGGAGAGCUUGCUCUCCGGAUCAGUGGCGAACGGGCGAGUAACACGUGAGCAAUCUGCCCCUGACUCUGGGAUAAGCGCUGGAAACGGCGUCUAAUACCGGAUACGAGCUGCGAAGGCAUCUUCAGCAGCUGGACAGAACUUCGGUCAGGGAUGAGCUCGCGGCCUAUCAGCUAGUUGGUGAGGUAAUGGCUCACCAAGGCGUCGACGGGUAGCCGGCCUGAGAGGGUGACCGGCCACACUGGGACUGAGACACGGCCCAGACUCCUACGGGAGGCAGCAGUGGGGAAUAUUGCACAAUGGGCGCAAGCCUGAUGCAGCAACGCCGCGUGAGGGACGACGGCCUUCGGGUUGUAAACCUCUUUUAGCAGGGAAGAAGCGAAAGUGACGGUACCUGCAGAAAAAGCACCGGCUAACUACGUGCCAGCCGCCGCAGUAA
rnacentral:rRNA from 1 species